rnacentral:rRNA from 1 species
UCUGGCUCAGAUUGAACGCUGGCGGCAGGCCUAACACAUGCAAGUCGAACGGUAACAGGAAGAAGCUUGCUUCUUUGCUGACGAGUGGCGGACGGGUGAGUAAUGUCUGGGAAACUGCCUGAUGGAGGGGGAUAACUACUGGAAACGGUAGCUAAUACCGCAUAACGUCGCAAGACCAAAGAGGGGGGACCUUCGGGCCUCUUGCCAUCGGAUGUGCCCAGAUGGGAUUAGCUAGUAGGUGGGGUAACGGCU